GUGCUUUAGGGAUGAAGAAGCCCCUCAUAUUUAACUCAAAUCCAUCCAUCACUUUGUCAGCAAAUUUAUUUAUUUUAGUUUCUUGCUGAUCAUUAAUAGGUGGAAUAAUU